UGUCUCCUCCACCUCCUCCAUUGGUGGAUUACGCCCGAAGCUCUCUAGAGCUUCGGGCUUUUUUU
rnacentral:ncRNA from 1 species